rnacentral:rRNA from 1 species
ACGACGUCAAGUCAUCAUGGCCCUUACGGCCUGGGCUACACACGUGCUACAAUGGUCGGUACAAAGGGUUGCCAAGCCGCGAGGUGGAGCUAAUCCCAUAAAACCGAUCGUAGUCCGGAUCGCAGUCUGCAACUCGACUGCGUGAAGUCGGAAUCGCUAGUAAUCGUGAAUCAGAAUGUCACGGUGAAUACGUUCCCGGGCCUU